rnacentral:rRNA from 1 species
CGGCAGGCCUAACACAUGCAAGUCGAGCGGAUGAAGGGGGCUUGCUCCUGGAUUCAGCGGCGGACGGGUGAGUAAUGCCUAGGAAUCUGCCUGGUAGUGGGGGAUAACGUCCGGAAACGGGCGCUAAUACCGCAUACGUCCUGAGGGAGAAAGUGGGGGAUCUUCGGACCUCACGCUAUCAGAUGAGCCUAGGUCGGAUUAGCUAGUUGGUGGGGUAAAGGCCUACCAAGGCGACGAUCCGUAACUGGUCUGAGAGGAUGAUCAGUCACACUGGAACUGAGACACGGUCCAGACUCCUACGGGAGGCAGCAGUGGGGAAUAUUGGACAAUGGGCGAAAGCCUGAUCCAGCCAUGCCGCGUGUGUGAAGAAGGUCUUCGGAUUGUAAAGCACUUUAAGUUGGGAGGAAGGGCAGUAAGUUAAUACCUUGCUGUUUUGACGUUACCAACAGAAUAAGCACCGGCUAACUUCGUGCCAGCAGCCGCGGUAAUACGAAGGGUGCAAGCGUUAAUCGGAAUUACUGGGCGUAAAGCGCGCGUAGGUGGUUCAGCAAGUUGGAUGUGAAAUCCCCGGGCUCAACCUGGGAACUGCAUCCAAAACUACUGAGCUAGAGUACGGUAGAGGGUGGUGGAAUUUCCUGUGUAGCGGUGAAAUGCGUAGAUAUAGGAAGGAACACCAGUGGCGAAGGCGACCACCUGGACUGAUACUGACACUGAGGUGAGAAAGCGUGGGCAGCAAACAGGAUUAGAUACCCUGGUAGUCCACGCCGUAAACGAUGUCGACUAGCCGUUGGGAUCCUUGAGAUCUUAGUGGCGCAGCUAACGCGAUAAGUCGACCGCCUGGGGAGUACGGCCGCAAGGUUAAAACUCAAAUGAAUUGACGGGGGCCCGCACAAGCGGUGGAGCAUGUGGUUUAAUUCGAAGCAACGCGAAGAACCUUACCUGGCCUUGACAUGCUGAGAACUUUCCAGAGAUGGAUUGGUGCCUUCGGGAACUCAGACACAGGUGCUGCAUGGCUGUCGUCAGCUCGUGUCGUGAGAUGUUGGGUUAAGUCCCGUAACGAGCGCAACCCUUGUCCUUAGUUACCAGCACCUCGGGUGGGCACUCUAAGGAGACUGCCGGUGACAAACCGGAGGAAGGUGGGGAUGACGUCAAGUCAUCAUGGCCCUUACGGCCAGGGCUACACACGUGCUACAAUGGUCGGUACAAAGGGUUGCCAAGCCGCGAGGUGGAGCUAAUCCCAUAAAACCGAUCGUAGUCCGGAUCGCAGUCUGCAACUCGACUGCGUGAAGUCGGAAUCGCUAGUAAUCGUGAAUCAGAAUGUCACGGUGAAUACGUUCCCGGGCCUUGUACACACCGCCCGUCACACCAUGGGAGUGGGUUGCUCCAGAAGUAGCUAGUCUAACCGCAAGGGGGACGGUUACCACGGAGUA